GACGAACGCAGGCGGCGUGCUUAACACAUGCAAGUCGAACGGAAAGGCCCUGCUUUUGUGGGGUGCUCGAGUGGCGAACGGGUGAGUAACACGUGAGUAACCUGCCCUUGACUUUGGGAUAACUUCAGGAAACUGGGGCUAAUACCGGAUAGGAGCUCCUGCUGCAUGGUGGGGGUUGGAAAGUUUCGGCGGUUGGGGAUGGACUCGCGGCUUAUCAGCUUGUUGGUGGGGUAGUGGCUUACCAAGGCUUUGACGGGUAGCCGGCCUGAGAGGGUGACCGGCCACAUUGGGACUGAGGUACGGCCCAGACUCCUCCGGGAGGAAACAGGGGGGAAUAGUGCACAAUGGGCGGAAGCCUGAUGCAGCAACGCCGCGUGCGGGAUGACGGCCUUCGGGUUGUAAACCGCUUUCGCCUGUGACGAAGCGUGAGUGACGGUAAUGGGUAAAGAAGCACCGGCUAACUACGUG
rnacentral:rRNA from 1 species